rnacentral:rRNA from 1 species
UACGAAGGGGGCUAGCGUUGCUCGGAAUUACUGGGCGUAAAGGGCGCGUAGGCGGACAGUUAAGUCAGAGGUGGAAGCCCAGGGCUCAACCCUGGAAUAGCCUUUGAUACUGGCUGUCUUGAGUGCGGGAGAGGUGUGUGGAACUCCGAGUGUAGAGGUGAAAUUCGUAGAUAUCGGGAGGAACACCUAUUGCGAAGGCAGCUCGCUGGGACGUCACUGACGCUGAGACGCGAAAGCGUGGGGAGCAAACAGG